AUUCCAUAUCUUUUUCCUGAUAAGAAACCAGCUAGGAAACAUGUAACAAAUAUUGAGAUUGAUCAAUUUUACAACAAAAUAGAAACAAACCAUGCCAUAGCCUUUUCACAUUGAACUGAGCAAUCACAGUUUAAGGAUGAAGAAAUUGGGGACAAUUUUCAAAUUAAGCAUUCUACAAUGGGUUGAUUGCAUCGAAGGAUGAUAGUAAUGAGGUUGGAUCACAGUAUUCUAGCACAAACUCAAAAUAUUCUAGUUAAACUUGAUCUAAACUCACAUUAUCUAUGGGAUAUCCAAUCACAUAUCAUAAAUUUGCUAUUUUUUGUAGGGAAGAGAAAUGUGCACUAACGCUGUUGAGAGAUUCCUGAUCAAUUUCCACCGUUCUAAACAAUUUUUGCGAAAGAUAAUCCAAUUCUUUUGUAGGUGCCAAGUUAUUAAUGGCACUCCCUUCAAUGGAUACCUCCACAUCUCUGGUUUCUGUUUGACCAUGGUGACUGUACAGCUGGGCUUUCAUGUCCAGGCAAGAUGUUAGAUCCUCUUCAUUUCGGGCUUUGUUCAAUUUCUCAAUAAGAUCAUUUAAAGCUGAAGCCCUGUCAGCCCGCAAACUUUUUGCCUUUUCUGACCUUUUAUCAAGCUCAUCAUCACCAUUCAGGUUAACACCAUCAUUAAACUCACGUUUCUGAAGCUUCUUUAAACCCGCAUCAACAAUUUCUUGUAUCCUUUUUCGAACAUUCUCACUUUUUGUAGGACUCGACCUAAGCUUCAACUUCUGCCCUGCCAUCAACUUUUCUGUGUCAACUUCUGCAGAAGCAUUGUUGGGAUUCGAUGAAACGGAAGUGUCCUCUGUGGAUCCUUUUUCGGAGCUCUCUAAAAUAGACUUCACAGAAAAUACCUCCUCCAAUAAGUUAAUAUUCUGCAUGUACCGGCCAAAAGCUUCAUUUUCGACUUCAAUGUUUCUUUCCCUGUAUUCCUUUAGCUUGGAAAACCUCCAUUCAUUUAUAGCUGCAGCUUCCUUUCUGGUUAAUGGCUUCCUUGAUCGGGAAGCAUGCAAAUUGUUGAAUUGAGAAAAAUUGUUAGAAAGUUGUCGAAGUGAUGCAACCCUUAGUGAACUCGAUGCAGGAGACGCUUCAGUUGACUGAUGAUCAAAAAGAGUAGUGCUUGAAGCCGGUGCCUUCUCUGGAAAAGUCGCAUUUGCUUUCAAAACGUGAAUAUGGCAUGGAUUUUGAGCUUUUGAGCAGCAACUUUUGCAUGACUGGUAGGGACACCUGCAGAAGUAGUUCAAUUGAUGAAAAGUGCCAACAAAAGGAAAUACUUCAAAAUGUUUUAAUACAUAUGCACAAUAGUCUAAGAUUAAAAUUUACACAUCAUGAUGAAGACAUGUAGCAUGACUUCAUACUUCCAGCAACAUCUACAGCAUCUACUACAACCUCAUACCAGUUUGUUAAAAGUAUGCAGUAUCAUUAGUACUUACAUAGGUUCAUCUAUCAACCACUGUAUGUAACAAAAAAAUAUCAUGCAUGAAAAUCACCAGUUCAAUCUAAUACAAAUGUUAAAUUGACUCAAUGUGGCUGUCAGUUUCAGCUGGCCAUUGGAUUGCAAACCAGCUUUGGCUAAAUAAAAGCAAGAUGAACACAAGCCUGUCCAAUUGAAUGGCAAAAUGUAUAGGCAAGCCUUGGACAGCUCAAAAGUCAGGAUACAGGCAUGAUAAAAUAACUAGUAGUUUCAAUCUUAAAAUUAGUGAAGGCUAGAGAGGAGUGUUAUUUUCCACACCACUUACCAUUCAAAGCAGAAAGUGACCAUCAAAACGUUAAUUUAGUGAUUUAUCUAAAGAUUUAAUAAAUAAAUCCUGUUUAUACUCCACACAACAAACUAUUGUUAUCGACAACUACAAAGCAGAGUUAUUUUCAAGCCAAACCAUUCAAAGCACAUAAUGAAAUUCAAAAAAUUAACUUGGUAAUAUCAAAAGAUAUCAGGGUAAUCACAAAUCUGCACUGAACCCUACAAGGUUUUCCAAACAUUAAAUUUCAAACCCAACAUUAUGCAAUUGUCAACAUUCCCACAAACAACUAAACCUUGACAUGUUUGUAUGAAAGAAGAAGGACAUCUCUAACUUAAAGAAAAAAUGGUAGGGGAGGAACCAUUAUAACCUUAAACGAUAUGACAAGUUGACAACCAAACCAAGGCAAAUGCUUAUAUCCAGGUCAUUUCGUUAAUACUGUUGGCCUAUUUAUCGUCUUAGACUUAAUUUGGAUGGAGGGAUAAGAGAGGACAGGAAAGGAAAGGAAAAGGAAUGGGAUUAUCCCUUAUUUGGAAGUUUAAUGAGUUUAAAAAGUAAAGGAUAACGAGGGAGUAGUUAUCCCCUCGAAACACCAUUUUGCUUUCUUUUCAAAUUU
rnacentral:misc_RNA from 1 species